rnacentral:rRNA from 1 species
ACGGAAGGCAGCAGUGGGGAAUAUUGGACAAUGGGGGAAACCCUGAUCCAGCGACGCCGCGUGAGUGAAGAAGUAUUUCGGUAUGUAAAGCUCUAUCAGCAAGGAAGAAAAUGACGGUACUUGACUAAGUAGCUCCGGCUAAAUACGUGCCAGCAGCCGCGGUAAUACGUAUGGAGCAAGCGUUAUCCGGAUUUACUGGGUGUAAAGGGAGCGUAGACGGCAAAGCAAGUCCGAAGUGAAAUCCCGGGGCUCAACCCCGGAACUGCUUUGGAAACUGUUUAGCUAGAGUGCAGGAGAGGUAAGCGGAAUUCCUAGUGUAGCGGUGAAAUGCGUAGAUAUUAGGAGGAACACCAGUGGCGAAGGCGGCUUACUGGACUGUAACUGACGUUGAGGCUCGAAAGCGUGGGGAGCAAACAGGAUUAGAUACCCUGGUA